ACCAUCAUAGUCCAGUGGUUAGGAUGUCAGAUUUUCAAUGCCCCCAGGUGCACAGACUCUCUGAAGACCGGGGUUCGAACCCCCGUGAUGGUA